AUGAAGUUGGAAUUGCUAGUAAUCGCGAAUCAGAAUGUCGCGGUGAAUACGUUCCCGGGCCUUGUACACGCCGCCUGUCACACCAUGAGAGUCGAUAACACCCGAAGCCUGUNAGCUAACCGUAAGGAGGCAGCAGUCGAAGGUGGGGUUGAUGAUUGGGGUGAAGUCGUAACAAGGUACC
rnacentral:rRNA from 1 species